rnacentral:piRNA from 1 species
UGCUGACCUAAUGAUGAAUGCUGAGUGUGU